UUUUUUUUUUUUUUUUUUUUUCUUUUCUUUUCUUUUUAGGGCUACACAAGAGGCAUAUGGAGGUUCCCAGGUCAGGGGUGGAAUUGGAACUGUAGUUAUUGGCCUAUGCCACAGCCACAGCAACACAGGAUCUGAGCCAAGUCUGCGACCUACCCCACAGCUCACAGCAACACCAGAUCCUUAACCCACUGAGUGAGGCCAGGGAUCAAACCUGCGUCCUCAUGGAUGCUAGUCAGGUUUGUUAACCCCUGAGCCACAACGGGAACUCUAGUCCUGGAUCUUUAAUUACCUUCCUUUUUAGUGUCUCCUGUGAUAUAUAAUCUGCUCAGUUUUCAAAAUUUUUCUUGGGUCCCUUCGAAUAUCUUGUAUCACUUUUUGAUCUGUUUCCAAACUGUUUAUGGAUUUGUUUCAAUUCUGGCUCCCCUAGAUAAAAGUUAUAUAUUACUGCAUAAUAAACUGCCACAAACUGAGUAGAUUGAAACAGCACACAUUUAGUAUCCAAGGUUUUUGUGGAUCAGGAAUCUAAUCAUGACCUAGGAUCUCUCAUGAGGCUGCAAUUAUAGGAAUGGCCAGGGUUAGGGUUUCAUCUGAAGGCUGAAUGGGGGAAGAAUUCACUUCCAAGUUCAUUUGGUGGUUCUGGGUCUUAAGGAAACAUUGACCUUAAGUGACACUUACAUCAGAUGGAUCUAUAUAUAUAGAUCCAUAUAGAUCCAUAUAUCUAUAUAUAGAUCCAUAUAUAGAUCUAUAUAUAUAUAUGACAUUCCACUCCAAAACAGCAGAAUACACAUUCUUUCCAAGUGCACAUGGAACAUUCUCCAGGAUAAAUCACAUGCUAGGUGACAAAACAAGUCUCAGUAAACUUAAGACUGAGAUCAGGAGUUCCCAUCAUGGUGCAGUCGUUAACAAAUCUAAGAACCAUGAGGUUGCGGGUUCGAUCCCUGCCCUUGCUCAGUGGGUUGAUGAUCCGGCGUUGCCGUGAGCUGUGGUGUAGGUCACAGACGCGGCUCGGAUCCCACGUUGCUGUGGCUCUGGCGUAGGCUGGCAGCUACAGCCCCGAUUAGCCCCCUAGCCUGGGAACCUCCAUAUGCCGCGGGAGCGGCCCAAGAAAUGGCAAAAAGACAAAAAAAAAAAAAAAAAAAAAAAAAAAAAGACUGAGAUCAUAUCAAGCAUCUCUUCAGACCCAUGAUGCUGUGAGACUAGAAAUCAGCUACAAGGAAAAAAACUGCAAAAAACACAAACACAUAGAGGCCAAACAAUAUGCUACAAAUAACAAUAUGCUACAUAAUAACAAUAUGCUACUAAAUAACAAACAAUAUGCUACUGAAAAAUCAAAGAGGAAAUCAAAAAAUACCUUGAGACAAAUGAAAAUGAAAACACAAUGAUCCAAAAUCUAUGAAUGCAGCAAAGGCAGUUUUGAGAGAGAAGUUAAUGGCAAAAAGAUAUCCUAUCUUUUUAUAUGAAGAAAAAUCUCAAACAAUCAACUUUACACCUAAGGGGGCUAGAAAAAGAACAAACAAAACACACAAUUAGGAGUUCCCGUCAUGGCUCAGUGGUUAACGAAUCUGACUAGGACCCAUGAGGUUGUGGGUUCGAUCCCUGGCCUUGCUCAGUGGGUUGAUGAUCCGGCGUUGCCGUGAGCUGUGGUGUAGGUCACAGAUGCAGCUCGGAUCCCACAUUGCUGUGGCUCUGGCAUAGGCUGGCAGCUACAGCUCCGAUUAGCCCCCUAGCCUGGGAACCUCCAUAUGCCGCGGGAGCGGCCCAAGAAAUAGCAACAAUAACAACAACAACAACAACAAAAAGAAUAGAAAAGAGCAAUGAAAUCAACAGCUGGUUCUCUGAAGAGAUUAACAAAAAAUUGAUAAGCCUUAGCCAGAUUCAGAAAAAAAAGAGUUCAAAUGAAUAAAAUCAGAAAUGAAAAAGCAGUUCCAAUCGUGGCUCAGUGGUUAACAAAUCCAACUAGGAACCAUGAGGUAUCAUAAAAAAGAAAAUUACAUGCCAAUUUCACUUAUGAACAUAGGUGCAAAAAUCUUCAACAAAGAUCAACAAAAUAUCAGCAAACCAAAUUCAACAACAUAUUAAAGGAUUAUAUACCAUGAUCAAGUUGAAUUUAUCACAGGGAUGAAAGGAUGGCUCAGUAUCUCCAAAUCAAAUAAUGUGAUACACCCCAUCAACAAAGAACAAAACUCAUAUAAUCUCAACAGAUGCAGAAAAGGCUUUUGACAAAAUUCAACAUUUAUGAUAAAAACUCUUAACAAAGUGGAUAUAAAGGGAACAUACCUGAACAUAAUAAAGGCUAUAUAUGAAAAGCUCAGAACUAAUAUCAUACUUGCAAGACUGAAUAUGUUCCUCAAAUUCAUAUAUUGGGAGUUCCCUCUGUGGCUCUGCGGAUUAAGGAACCUGACUAGUAUCCAUGAGGACUCGGGUUCCAUCCCUGGCCUCAGUAGGUUAAGGAUCCAGUGUUGCCAAAAACUGUGGUGUAGACAGAUGCAGCUCUGAUCUGGGGUUGCUGUGGCUAUGGCAUAGGAUGGCAGCUGGAGCUCCAAUUCGACCCCUAGACUGGGAACUUCCAUAUGCCUUGGGUGUGUCCCUAGAAAGACAAAAGAAAAAAAAAUCGUAU
rnacentral:lncRNA from 1 species